rnacentral:rRNA from 1 species
GGCCUAACACCUGCAAGUCGAGGGGUAUAUUUCUUCGGAGAUAGAGACCGGCGCACGGGUGCGUAACGCGUAUGCAAUCUACCUUUUACAGAGGGAUAGCCCAGAGAAAUUUGGAUUAAUACCUCAUAGUAUAGCAGUUUCGCAUGAAACCACUAUUAAAGUCACAACGGUAAAAGAUGAGCAUGCGUCCCAUUAGCUAGUUGGUAAGGUAACGGCUUACCAAGGCUACGAUGGGUAGGGGUCCUGAGAGGGAGAUCCCCCACACUGGUACUGAGACACGGACCAGACUCCUACGGGAGGCAGCAGUGAGGAAUAUUGGACAAUGGGCGCAAGCCUGAUCCAGCCAUGCCGCGUGCAGGAUGACGGUCCUAUGGAUUGUAAACUGCUUUUAUACGAGAAGAAACACUGCUACGUGUAGCAGCUUGACGGUAUCGUAAGAAUAAGGAUCGG